AUCGGCAUUGCUGAUGAGCGCUGGAAUGCAUCUGUCGCUCGCAACUGCCGCAGUCGCUGCCUGCCUUUGACCACGGAUGUACUGGCACUGGUGGAUGAGCGAUUAUGAGGAAGGUCGGUGCGGUUUCGCCCCGACCUUUUUUGUU
rnacentral:sRNA from 1 species